UUCGGGGUCUCCUAUAGAAUCGGGGUUCCUAAAAACCCCCAAAAUCUGGGAAUUCUGAGGGGGAAUUUGGGAUUUGGAGGGAUCUGGGGGGGGGUCUGGAUCCCAUUCUCGAUCCCAAAUCCCAUUCCUGGCCCCUUUCCCCCACCCAAAUUCCAUUCCCAGCCCUGACCCCAUUCCCAAUCCCAAAAAAUCCUGGUGCCACUCACAUUCCCGAUCCCAAAUCCCAAACUCUGCCCCCCGGGGCGGAGCCGGAGACAAAAGGGAAAAAGUUUUGUGGGGCAGAGAAGGAUCAGAAACUUCAGGAGAACCUUUGGGAAUUCCGGGGAGGUUUUUGGGAAUUCCGGGGAGUUUUUUUGGAUCGCCGGGAAUCCCCGGCCAGAGCCGAUCCCGGGAUGUGGAGCUGAGCGAGGCCACGGGAAAAUCUCAGAAUUCCAGAGGGAGAGGUUCCACAGUUCCAGGGAAAAUCCCAAAACUCUGAGGAAAGCUCUGAAAAUUCCAGACGCACGAGCCGGGCGGCGGCAGCGCGGUGAACGUCCUGUCGCGAUCCGGGGAAUCGCCACGGCCGCGCUUCGCCUCCCCCGCCGGGAGCAGUUCGGAUCCCCGGAGCCGUUCCGGGCCCAGAGUGUCCGCGGAUUCCGGCCCGGGGGGAGAAAUUCCAUCUGCUCUGCACCACCGGCGCUUCCAGCUGGGCGAGGUGCAGCGCGUGAUGCCAACGACUCCUUCUCCAUUGUGCGUGACCCCGGCACCUUGGGCCCGUCGUUCUUCUGUUAAAAACCCCCAAAAUGAGAAAAGAUCCAAAAGAAUUUAAAAAAAAAUCUGAAAAAAAUCCGGAAAAAACAAGAAAAAAUUUGAAAAAUUUUGAAAAAAAAUCUGAAAAAAUCAGGAAAAAAUCCUGAAAAAAACCUGAAAAAGUCUGAGAAAAAAUCAAAAAAUCAGGAAAAAAUCCAACACCCCCCCCCAAACAAACAAACAAAAAACCAAAACAAACAAACAAACAAACCUGAAAAUUUUUGAAAAAAAACCUGAAA